AGAGUUUUCAAGCACAAGAAGCAUACAUGUUCUAAAAGGAGGUUUGAGCCUGACCAAAACAAGAGACUCAUGAAGAAGCAGAAAAGUUUGGAAUCAAAGAUAGCAGAUCUUCAGAAAGAAAUGAACCACAAGGAAUUGCAGGAAUACCAAGAAAAGCUGGGACAAUUGGAACAGAACCUUGCAGAGAUUAGAAUGGAUACUUCUCGGGCAAAAGCCAUGAAUGAUGAGAGCCAGAUUUACUUGAAUUCUAUAAUUGCUCGUUUGUUCCCUUGAAAUGAAGGAGUUGGAGGCAGGAGCAGUGGGGAACUAACCCCAGAUGAUUAAGUGAUAAGAGUUUUAAACUUGUGGGAAGGAGGAAAUCAAACCAUGGGAGUUCUUUCAUCCAAAUAGAGUGUAUUUAGUUAUCGAACAUUAGUACCGUGACAUGAUGAUUGUUUUAAGACUUCAUAUGGAGUGUAAACGAUAUUAACUAUUUUUCAUUUCAUUUAGUUUAUUCUCGUAAA